CAUUUUAUCAUCGUAUCUCCAUUCUGAGACUGAAAGUUGUGGAAGCAUAACUUGUGGCAUAGGUGUCUUUUGAGGAAGCAGCCAUUUAUGAUUCUGGAAGAUUAAGGCAAGAGAGGAAGCCCCAUCUGAGAUUUUAACCAACCUUUCAAACAGCAGACUACACCAUGGACACGAAGCUGGACCCUUCCAGAGAUGAUCUGCCUCUUAUGGCCAACACCAGCCACAUGCUUGUGAAGCACUAUGUGCUGGAUUUAGACGUGAACUUUGAAAGUCAGACCAUUGAGGGCACCAUAGUGCUUUUCUUUGAGGAUGGAAACCAAGUCAAGAAACAAACUAGUUCCACCGAGGAAACCUGCCAAUUGGAGUCAAGUGAAGCCUGCACAUUUAGGGCACCUGAGCCCUGCCAUAUUCCUGCAACAAAUGCAAGGACCGUAGCAUCUAAAUUGGGAUAUAAUGAUUUUGCAAUCUGUGAUAAAGGUGAAAAAGAUACUUUUGAUAAAGAUGGUAACCAUGACAACCAGGAACAGGCUUCUGGUAUCUCUAGCUCAGAGUACUGCUGUGACACAAGGAACCAUGGGAGAGAGGGUUUUUUGCUGGUGUUGGACUGUUGUGAUUUGUCUGUGUUAAAGGUCGAGGAGGUGGAUGUUGCUGCUGUGCCAGGUAUUGAAAAAUUUACAAGGUCUUCCAAGCUCUCAGUUAUUUCUGAGGAGCUCAGGAAUGAGGUUGUUGGUGAACUUGUGACUCUGCCUGCGGAUCGUUGGAGGGAGCAGCUGGAUUAUUAUGCUCGCUGUGGCCAGGCUCCUGGCUGUGGGGAACUGUUCUUUGACACUGAUACUUGGAGCUUACAGAUCAGGAAGCCAGGGGCUUUGACGGCUUCUGAUUUCCCUCAUGCCAUCAGGAUAUGGUACAAGACCAAACCCGAGGGGCGGUCAGUUGCUUGGACCUCAGACCAGAGUGGCAGGCCAUGUGUUUAUACUGUGGGAUCUCCCAUAAACAACAGGGCCCUUUUUCCGUGCCAGGAGCCACCCGUUGCCAUGUCAACAUGGCAGGCUACAGUUCGAGCAGCUGCAUCUUUUGUUGUUUUAAUGAGCGGGGAAAAUUCUGCCAAGCCAACACAGCUUCGGGAAGGGUGCUCAAGCUGGCAUUACUACGUAACCAUGCCAAUGCCCGCUGCCACCCUCACAAUUGCGGUGGGAUGCUGGACAGAAAUAAAGCUGGAGAAGGAUCUGGUGACAGAACGACCCUUCUCAUCUUCCGAGGCCAACUUCAGGUGUGCUGGUGUUUGUGGUCACGUGGAAUACCCCUGCCGCUUCCAGAAUGCCUCUGCCACUGCCCAGGAGGUCAUUCCUCACCGAGUCUUUGUCCCGAUGUGCCUCCGGGAUGUCUGCCAAGAGACCCUUCUGCCUCUGAUCCCUCCUUGCCUCUCAGCUGCACACUCUGUCCUGGGAACACACCCAUUCUCCCGGCUGGAUAUACUCAUUGUCCCUGCUAACUUUUCAAGUCUGGGGAUGGCCAGCCCACACAUCAUCUUCCUCUCUCAGAGCACCUUGACAGGCAUGAACCACCUCUGUGGAAUGCGUCUCUGCCAUGAAAUUGCUCACGCCUGGUUUGGCCUUGCCAUCGGGGCCCGGGACUGGACAGAGGAGUGGCUCAGCGAAGGCUUCGCCACUCACUUGGAAGAUGUGUUCUGGACCAAAGCACAGCAGCUGUCACCCCAUGAGGCCCAGGAGCAACAGGAGCUGAGAGCCUGCCUGCGCUGGCGUCGCCUCCAGGACGAGCUGCGGAACUCCCCGGAGGAGAUGCAGGUGUUGAGACCCAGUAAAGAGAAAACUGGCCAGGUGAGCGACUCGGGAGCAUCUGUGGUCAAACAUGGACUCAACCCUGAGAAGAUCUUCAUGCAGGUUCAUUAUCUAAAGGGCUACUUUCUUCUUCGGUUCCUUGCCAAAAGACUUGGAAAUGAAACCUAUUUUUCAUUUUUAAGAAAAUUUGUACACACGUUUCAUGGACAGUUGAUUCUCUCCCAGGAUUUCCUUCAAAUGCUGCUGGAGAGGAUCCCAGAAGAAAAAAGGCAGGAUCUAUCUGUUGAAAACAUCUUCCGAGACUGGCUUGAGAGUUCUGGAAUGCCAAAGCCUCUGCAGAGCGAGAGCCAGGCCGGGGCGGAGUGCGGGCUCGUGCGGCAGGUGAGCGCCGAGGUGACAAAAUGGAUUCGAGUGAACCGCAGACCCCGAAAACGGCGGCGAAGGGAGAAAAACGAGGUGUUUGAAAAGGUCCAAAGGCUGUGGCCUCCUGGGUGGAAUCUCAGUGUCUCUCCGGAAUCCCCACUCCUUCCGGACCAGCUGGUCUUGCUUCUAGAGCAUCUCUUGGAGCAGAAGACUUUGAAGCCCCAAACUCUGCAGAGCCUCCAGAGGACAUACCGCCUCCAGGAGCAGGAUGCAGAGGUCCGCCACCGGUGGUGCGAGCUCGUGGUGAAGCACAGGCAUGCCCAGGCGCACAGGCACGUGGAGAGGUUCCUUCUGGAGGACCAGGCCAUGGGCGUGUACCUGUACGGGGAGCUGAUGGUGAGCGAGGAUGCCCGACAGCAGCAGCUGGCCCGCAGGUGCUUCGAGCUGGCCAAGGUGCAGAUGGAUGGACCCUCAGCCGAUGUGGUAGCCCAGAUGCUGUUCUAAAGAGCCGCUGGUGGACAUGGCACGAGCUCCAGCCGAGGCACUGCUUCUCCGGGCUGUCAGUUGGACCCGCCCUCCGGUGCCUACUGAGCUGAUAUCAGUUCUCAUUUUACACACUGGCUCAGUUCAGCAGGAACAGGAGUCGAGCCCUUGAGCAAAAGCCUUCCCGUUUGAAAGAUCACAGGUUCUCUGACACGUCUCCUCCCAGCCCUGGUGGGACCAGGAUCGCCUUGACCCUGGACAUCAAAGGAGGGGCUGGGGGCUGCUAAAGCCGUCAGUCGACAACACCGUGCAUCUCGCCACACCCUCUGUCCAGAGCAGGGCUCUGCUGAGUCCAUGCAGCGGAGGGUCCUUUCGGACACAGUCCCCACCUUUGAGGUGUGGAGUCUGUGUGGCAGAGCUGGGC